GUGUCUUUUGAAAGGAGAGCAGGUUAGCACUCCCCUUGACAAGGAUGGAACAUAACCGGACCAGGAGGCACAAUUCUGGUUCCGACUCAUUUUUUUUCUUAAUAGUAAUACUACCCAUUUUUUUU